GCUCUCGUAGUUCAAUUGGAUAGAACGUCGGCGUCCUAAGCCGAAUGUUACAGGUUCGAGUCCUGUCGAGGGCA
rnacentral:tRNA from 1 species